CUGGCUCAGGAUGAACGCUGGCGGCGUGCCUAACACAUGCAAGUCGAACGGAGUAAUUAAGCGGAAGUCUUCGGAUGGAAGCUUAGCUACUUAGUGGCGGACGGGUGAGUAACGCGUGGGCAACCUGCCCUGUACCGGGGGAUAACACUUAGAAAUAGGUGCUAAUACCGCAUAAGCGCACGGUCUCGCAUGAGACAGUGUGAAAAACUCCGGUGGUACAGGAUGGACCCGCGUCUGAUUAGCUAGUUGGUGGGGUAGAGGCCUACCAAGGCGACGAUCAGUAGCCGGCCUGAGAGGGUGACCGGCCACAUUGGGACUGAGACACGGCCCAAACUCCUACGGGAGGCAGCAGUGGGGAAUAUUGCACAAUGGGGGAAACCCUGAUGCAGCGACGCCGCGUGAGUGAAGAAGUAUUUCGGUAUGUAAAGCUCUAUCAGCAGGGAAGAAAAUGACGGUACCUGACUAAGAAGCCCCGGCUAACUACGUGCCAGCAGCCGCGGUAAUACGUAGGGGGCAAGCGUUAUCCGGAUUUACUGGGUGUAAAGGGAGCGUAGACGGCAGGGCAAGUCUGAAGUGAAAGCCCGGGGCUCAACCCCGGGACUGCUUUGGAAACUGUCCGGCUGGAGUGCAGGAGAGGUAAGUGGAAUUCCUAGUGUAGCGGUGAAAUGCGUAGAUAUUAGGAGGAACACCAGUGGCGAAGGCGGCUUACUGGACUGUAACUGACGUUGAGGCUCGAAAGCGUGGGGAGCAAACAGGAUUAGAUACCCUGGUAGUCCACGCCGUAAACGAUGAUUACUAGGUGUCGGGGGCUAUUAGACCUUCGGUGCCGCAGCAAACGCAAUAAGUAAUCCACCUGGGGAGUACGUUCGCAAGAAUGAAACUCAAAGGAAUUGACGGGGACCGCACAAGCGGUGGAGCAUGUGGUUUAAUUCGAAGCAACGCGAAGAACCUUACCAAGUCUUGACAUCCCAAUGACAGCAUAUGUAAUGUAUGUUCCCUUCGGGGCAUUGGAGACAGGUGGUGCAUGGUUGUCGUCAGCUCGUGUCGUGAGAUGUUGGGUUAAGUCCCGCAACGAGCGCAACCCUUAUCUUUAGUAGCCAGCAGUAAGAUGGGAACUCUAGAGAGACUGCCGGGGAUAACCCGGAGGAAGGUGGGGAUGACGUCAAAUCAUCAUGCCCCUUAUGAUUUGGCUACACACGUGCUACAAUGGCGUGAACAGAGGGAAGCGAAGGGGUGACCUGGAGCAAAUCCCAAAAAACACGUCUCAGUUCGGAUUGUAGUCUGCAACUCGACUACAUGAAGCUGGAAUCGCUAGUAAUCGCGAAUCAGAAUGUCGCGGUGAAUACGUUCCCGGGUCUUGUACACACCGCCCGUCACACCAUGGGAGUCGGAAAUGCCCGAAGUCUGUGA
rnacentral:rRNA from 1 species